GAUGAACGCUGGCGGCGUGCUUAACACAUGCAAGUCGAACGGUGAAGGCGGAGCUUGCUCUGCUGGAUCAGUGGCGAACGGGUGAGUAACACGUGAGUAAUCUGCCCCUGACUCUGGGAUAAGCGCUGGAAACGGCGUCUAAUACUGGAUACGAGCUGCGAAGGCAUCUUCAGCAGCUGGAAAGAAUUUCGGUCAGGGAUGAGCUCGCGGCCUAUCAGCUUGUUGGUGAGGUAAUGGCUCACCAAGGCGUCGACGGGUAGCCGGCCUGAGAGGGUGACCGGCCACACUGGGACUGAGACACGGCCCAGACUCCUACGGGAGGCAGCAGUGGGGAAUAUUGCACAAUGGGCGAAAGCCUGAUGCAGCAACGCCGCGUGAGGGACGACGGCCUUCGGGUUGUAAACCUCUUUUAGCAGGGAAGAAGCGAAAGUGACGGUACCUGCAGAAAAAGCGCCGGCUAACUACGUG
rnacentral:rRNA from 1 species